AAUCAACUAGGUACCAAUUUUGGG
rnacentral:siRNA from 1 species